CACCCAUUCCCAUCACGCUGACAACCUGCUCCAAGCUGGCACACACUGAGGGGACUCCCCAAGCAGCCCACAAACCAGCAAGAGGACGUGACCUCCCUCCCCUAAGGAAACACACUGAACUGCUGGACCAAGACCUUGAGGCAUGUCUCAGCUGAGAAGGAAUGGAGAGGGCACAGCAGCAGGGGAUACUUUAUACCCAUUGGGAAUGUCAGCAGAGUCUUCCUUGGACCCAGACAUAGGAAAAAAAAACUACAUAUUGAAGAUGGCCAGUUCAGCAUUUGCAGGUUCUCCUGCUGCCUAGACACUAUGAAAACCUGUACCAUCUGCAAGCUCACUGCUGCCUUAGCUCAGUUACGGACUUGCGGUUGCACAAAAACAUCUGUAAGGAGAACACACAUCACAUUCCCAAAGCAUCUACGCAGAGCAACGAAGAGCAGGUGACCAGUUUCAGCUAGAGCAUGACCACAAAAGACCAAGUUCUCCAAAAACACUAUGGCCCAGAUCCAUGGAAACAAAUGUUCUCCCUGCAGCUCUCCAGGGAUGCAAAGAAUAGCAACUCAGAGAAUUCAGUGGCUAAGGAAGGUCCCACUCACUUCACUAGGAUGCAGGACACAUCGCUGACACGUUCACACCCCUGUGUGAGGACACCCUGACCGUGGGCUAAGGUACCUUUGUGCUUCACAGUGCAGGCAUGGAGGGCAACUUCCAGCUGAGAGGGCGAGGGCACCCAUGCCCAGCACACUUGACUGGGUUCUCACUUGGCAGGAACACAGCCUGGGUUCCUUAUCUGUAAGUUUCAAAAGAGUCCAAAAGAUAAGGAGGGACCAGCUGCCCUGUAAGCACUAUUAAACUCUUUUCAAAACAUCCGGCUGGAGCUCCCAGACUGAUCGAUCAAUAGCAAUCAAUUUCUGCUCACCAGCGGGAUUUUGCAAGUGCCUGCUGCUCUCUGGAAUGGGGCCAUUAGCACCUACAGUCUCAAACUAAUAGCCAGUAAUGAACAUUUUACCUAUGCUAAUAGCUGGGUGAAUGAUAAACAGUGAUUUCUCUAGCACUGUUCAUUGGGGUGAGCAAACCUUGUCACAGCAAAGGAGAGAAGAUGGAGGAAGAGAUGGUGCUAGCACUCUGGGAAAUUGGCUAUUUAGAGGAACAAAGAAGAAACUGGUACCCAGAGACCAAGAAAAAGAGCCAGGAAAAAGACAUUUUUGUUACAUAUAAGUAAAUUACUAACAUGGAAGUGUCCAAGACAAAAGGGACUGAACACAGUAUAGCAACCAAACCCAAGAAGAAAUACAUUUACCCUAUCAUUUAAUUUAAAAGCCUGAAUAUUUCCACUGGCACCAGAGAAGCACAGUUCCUGGGAAGCCAUAUCCUCACAUGUCUGCUAACUUUGAGUGGCAACAGGAGUUUUCCCCAAUUGCACCAUUUCCCUCCCAGGUGGAUGCCCUGAUGUGUGGAAGAAGGUCUGGGCUCACACUGAUGGUGCUUCUCCUUGCAGACCGACCAGGGCCAGGCUUCUCUCCCCUCGUGAGGCCAUGCACCUGGUAAGAGUUAAACUCCAAGGCUGGUUCCAGCUCCUGCUUUGUGGGUUUAAUACUCCCCGAGCUGUCGCAAGGGUGUUAAACUCCCACUCUUCCAGUUCAAAGGCAGCUUUGCAGAGCUGAGCAGUCUUAAAAUGCGCAGCUUUUCAGAAGUGUGACCUUUUCACAAGGUUUCCAAUUCAGUAAAGGUUUGUUUCCUCCCUCUUCAAGCACGUAACUAAUGGUAGUCAUGAAACACCUCCUCCAACAGCAGCAGGCAGGCGGGCCAGGCUCCCCACCAGCCUUGAAAU